CAAGUAGGAACUGAAGCAGAAAC
rnacentral:piRNA from 1 species